GACGAACGCUGGCGGCGUGCCUAAUACAUGCAAGUAGAACGCACAGUUUAUACCGUAGCUUGCUACACCAUAGACUGUGAGUUGCGAACGGGUGAGUAACGCGUAGGUAACCUGCCUGGUAGCGGGGGAUAACUAUUGGAAACGAUAGCUAAUACCGCGUAAUAUUAAUUAUUGCAUGAUAAUUAAUUGAAAGGUGCAAUUGCACCACUACCAGAUGGACCUGCGUUGUAUUAGCUAGUAGGUGAGGUAACGGCUCACCUAGGCGACGAUACAUAGCCGACCUGAGAGGGUGAUCGGCCACACUGGGACUGAGACACGGCCCAGACUCCUACGGGAGGCAGCAGUAGGGAAUCUUCGGCAAUGGACGAAAGUCUGACCGAGCAACGCCGCGUGAGUGAAGAAGGGUUUCGGAUCGUAAAGCUCGGUUGUAAGAGAAGAACGGGUGUGAGAGUGGAAAGUUCACACUGUGACGGUAGCUUACCAGAAAGGGACGGCUAACUACGUG
rnacentral:rRNA from 1 species